GCUCCGCCCCGCCCCGUCUCCCGGCACCGCGGCCGCUGGCGGCGGCUCUGCCGCGGGGGGUCCCCGCGCCCGCCCGGCCCGGGCACCGUGCCGCUUUGCGGGGCUGGGGGCUGCUCGGGGGGCCUCUCCGCGUCCCGCCGGCCCCACCCGCACCACCGCGGACGCGGUCCCGUUACGCGGGCGUCGGUGGGGGCGAGCGCUGCGCGGGGGCGCCUCUGGGUCGGGCCCCGGGGCCGGAGCUGCGGGCGCCGAGCGGGACGGGCCCCGCGGAUACGGCCGCUGGCUGCGGUGCCCCCGUGCCCCUUGGGCUGACGCGCUCCCGGUAGCGGUUCCCCGGUGGAGGUUCGGGGCUGGGGCCGGGAAGGAGCGAUUGGGCUUCUGUUGUGGCGCCCUUUCUCUGCGUGGCCGAGCGCAGCGCCGGAGCAGCCAACUGGCGUUACCCCGCCGCGGGUACUGCGAAAAGCGGAGCUCUGUCCGCGCUCCAGCGGCGUGACCGCGAGUCCCCAUCGCAGGGAUUCCUUACAGGCGAGACCCGUUCCUAACACCUGUUUGGGGUGGGCUACGGGGAAGUUUUUUUUCUUCUUUUUCGGUUGCCUUCGAGGAUGGAGAUGGAGGCGCGCAGGAGAGCCCCGCGCAGCGGAGGGCUGGGGAGGGCGGGCCGCGGGCACUGCCUGUCCUCUGGCGGCGCGGCCCCGCGGGACGGGCACGGCUCCGGGCACACGGGCGGCCGGCUGCCGUCCGCUGGCGGACGGCGUCAGGGCGGCGGAUGGGACGCGCACGGCUUGGGAAAGAAGUUUCUGGAGAGACAAAUCAAGAAGAAACCCAGGUGAAAAACAUAGUUUAUCUUCCUCCACCCAAGGUCGUCGUUCCACAGCCGUAUGCAGGGACUCUGGAGCAGUGGGUGCUGCAUGGGACAGACAGCCCUCCAAGCGGCGGUGUGCCCGGUGGCAGCAGGCAUCCGGCCUGAGCUCCUGCCAGGCCGCCGGUUCCUGCUGCACUAAAUCAGUUCUUCCAGAGUCAAUGGCUCCUCUCAGUGACUCACAGGAGGUGCAAAUCCAGCGGGGCAAAUUAAGCAUAGCAACAUAGCAGCAGAAUAGCCAGAAGGCUUCAGCAGCUCAAAUCCAACUGUGUGUUGUGAGUUUUGCAGAAGGAAGCUGAGGCAUCAGGACUGCACACAGCUGCUUUCCCAGCACCAGCUAAAGAGAAGGUCUUGGACAUGGAUCCCAUAUGACCUCAGGAGAAACUUUUUUCAUAGCUUCCAGCUUUGGGCUUCAGUGUGCAGGAUUUCCCUGUGGAGCAGUACUGCAUGUAAACUGACAUCUUUAUUAAAAUGAAAUGAGCAAGCUCAAAGGAAAAUUGGUGAUGAUCACAAAGGGUUACUGGAGCAGGGUUAACCUGAUUGCAAUCAAUAGAACAGUGCUUGAGCAAUUCUUGAUCAAAGAACACUUGUGGGCUGUGGUCCAUAACGGUUUUCAACUGUUGCCUGCCUUAGUCCACCUCAUAGCUGCACCUUAGAGACAAUUGCCUUCUGCCUCUAUCUGUGUUGUGGAGCUCUGCAGCCCAGAAUGUCUGCUCUUCAGUACGUUCAG
ensembl:lncRNA